rnacentral:rRNA from 1 species
UACAGAGGGUGCGAGCGUUAAUCGGAAUUACUGGGCGUAAAGCGCGCGUAGGCGGCUUUGCAAGUCGGGUGUGAAAUCCCCAGGCUUAACCUGGGAACUGCAUUCGAGACUGCAUUGCUAGAGUAUGGGAGAGGGAAGUGGAAUUUCCGGUGUAGCGGUGAAAUGCGUAGAUAUCGGGAGGAAUACCGAUGGCGAAGGCAGGUCUCUGGGCUGACACUGACGCUCAUGCACGAAAGCGUGGGGAGCAAACAGG